CUCGCUCAGCCCCCUCCUUGUUAGUUUCCCAGCCCAUUCUCACCCUCUCCCAUUCCCUCAUCCCCUCGUCCAAUCCAAUCGACCUGGGCGAACAGCCCUACCGAUAGGCGAGAGCGCCGCCGCCGGCGAAUCCCUUCAUCCUUUGCCUCGAUCGCUACCUUUAUCCUCUGCCUCGAUCGCUCCCUCCCAUGUUGCCUCCUUGUCCCGCUGUUCUAUGCCAGCCGACGAAUUCCUCCAGCGCAUGCACACGGGAAAGAGAUCACUUGGAGUAGAACUACCCACAUAUAAGAAUUGGCAGGAAAGGGGAUGGUCACAUGAAGUUUGUUGUCAUGUUGAACUGCGAGUUGUGUAAUCAGAAAGUGCUUCUGCCACUAUUGGCUAUAUAAUUUCGUUUUGCUCCCAGAAAAAAAUUGUUGGAAUAAUAAACAUUUCUUGUUCAACUAGGCCACGGUUCACUCAGUCGCAGAUGAUGGCGAGGCGACAAAGACGUACAGUGUGCCCAGCUCAUCCCGUGUUCGAUUGGGCUGGGGCGCUCAUGGCGGCGCUGAAAGGAAUCUCCUAGCCAAAUUUUAGCAUGGAGGCGCCUUCCAGAGCACCUUGCCGCUGAUAGUGAUGUCCGGCGGCGCGAGGACAUGGUGAGGCUUCAAUGAAUCAUCCAUGGAUCCGACGAUUUCAAGGCUUCGAAGGAUUAAAUAUGAGAACAUAAUUCUCGAAAUGGAGGAGGUUCAAUUGGUGUUCCUGGAGAUGACAAGAAGGAUCAUUCAAGGGAAGAGGAUUCGUUGCAAGAGAGUCGAAUGCCGGCACGGGCGGUCCUCUCAAAGGGCUCAUUACAGCAUCACAAAGACACGGGCAACGGUGCUACUGCUGAUGGUAGAGAGAAGAUCAACGGCAAGGGAGGCAAGGGAAAAACUGAGGGUCAAGUCAAAGAGGGUUUACAACUAGGUAUAAAGCUUCACGAGGACUCACCUUCUUGGGAUGGAAGAUGAUCAGUUACUGAUAAGUUAUAAAAUUUCAAUAUUUUGGUGAUGGUACCGACUGGGUGUUCUUCCAGAUUUACUUCUAUCAUGUGUAUUAAAACACGUUCAGCUUAUGUAGAUGAUGCACAAAUACUGCAGUAAAAGUAAAUACAUUACCUGUAAAUUGAACUGUUGAUUUAGUAAUUCUACUUAUGGUCCAGCGAUCGAUCAAUUGUUGAGGCUACACUGAACCAAAAAUUGCUUACUGGGCAGUACUAUAGUCUCUUGAUUAUGCUCUCAAGUAAAUAUCAUGUCUUCCUAUAAUUAGAAAUUUAGAAAACAAUAGGUUAAUCAGAAGCUUUCUUACAAAAAGAGUGCUCUUCAGAAGCUACUACAUGUAUACGCGAACAUCACAUGCAUGUUUUCUUAAUUUUCAGGUGCUUGUGAAUAUGUGCGGAAGUACAGUAGCCUGUAGCUUUGUAGGCGUUGAACUAAAUACCAAUCCAAGUAGGAGUGAAAGGAAGAUAAUAUAGGUUUUGAUCCGCCAAAAGGUCUAUUUAUUCUCAUUUCAGUUAAAAUUUACCUCUAAAACAUUGCAUGAAAUCCUGCGCAUAUUGGAUACUUUAUUUAUGCACCUUCUUGCAUUUUAAUUCCAUGUAAGUUGUGUACUCUAUUUAAUAAGUUAUUUGUAUUUUGGCUACAAAUGAUUUUAUUGGAUAUACUGUAGACAUUUUCCGCAGUGACUGUUGCAGCUUGCUAGACAUAGGAAAAGAUGGGAGUCAAUCCAAGAUGACAUCAGCAACCAAAGGUCUUCAACACAUUGGAAUAGCUUGCUCAGAUUUGCCAUCAUGCUGGCCUGAUAGACGUAAAGAGAAGACUGAUAAUAUCUUGAAAACAGUCUGUCAUACAUUCAUUUUCUAAUUACAGGUUAUGCACCCAAAUGCUGAAAAAGAGAUGAUGUACUAAUAUGUGGCACUUCUGGGCAAAAGUUUAUUCAGUACGUGAGCCAAAUAUUAGGUACCAUGCCCUGGUAAGGUAUAUAUUUUUUAAUACAAUUAACUCGUAUUGGAAGAUGGAAUGAGAAGAUUAAUUCUUUGAAUAUGUGAUUGCAAUAGAAUGCAGCCAAGUCACAUGCACACAGACUUGGUUAGUUUGGCCUCUUUACAUAUGUCACUAUUCACAAUCUCUUUCACAGCCAGGUCUGCGUUGACCUAUGUCUCUUUGCUACGCUUAUGGCUCUCCAAAAAAUUAUCAUCAUUACACUAGUCACACAAUGAGGUACAAAUGACGUCUGCCACAUCACUACCCCAUGGCUCUCUGGAAAUCAUCUCUGCGUCAUUUCCUUUCUCCAAGCGUCCAGGUAAGUCGACCAAUUCCAUAUGUUGUUUUUCAUUGCCGAAAUCUAACAAACCUUGAAUUUCACCCGCCGUUCAUUUAAUAGAACAUACUGCUUUGCCCGCAAGAAACAUGAAUCUGUUUGCCUCACUAAAUUGGUUAGCUCUCUAUUCGGUUUGAGUAUGGAUCAGUGGUUCAGAACAAUAUAAGGGAGCUGAAGAAAAAAAUUGCAUGGAGUAAUUUUUGUGAACAAUAAUAAAACAUAACAUAAUCUCCUAGAAAUGAAUCAAUCUAGGAAAGCACAAUAAAGCCCUCGGAAGAUGUUUUAACUACACUCAAACUGAAUAUGUAGCCUUUGCAUGCACAAUAUGAGUGAACUAUGUAGUGCUAACAAGAGAGGUUAAUUUUUAUUUUCUGUUUAUAUGCGAACUAUGUAUGGGUUUCUGCAGUUUUCAUUACAAAAAUCCUUUCGACAGCACAUGUCAAAGCAUCUUAUGGAAGGACAUUAGUGGUUAAAGCACAUCCAAGCUGUUAAACUAUCUAUCAGAAGUGAGCAUUCAGAUGUUCAAUUGAUACUCAUACAUGGAGGGAUAGAAGUGGCUAAAGCGCAGAAAUGUUAGAUCUAAUGGAGAGCGGCGUUUUGGUGCCUCCUUUUGUUCGUAAUAUAUAUUUCAAUAUUGCACAUUUGACAAAGAAGAUAUAUAAGUAAGUACUGAUCAUUUAUUGGUUUCCAAUUAAAACAAUUAACUGAUUUAGUGAGUAGCAAAAUUGUAUUAGGAAAGAACUACACAAAUGAAUCCCAAGCACUCCCCUAAUAAAUAUCAUAAGGUCUGUUGAGAGCUUAAUUUGUAACCAUGUAAUAUUUAACAAUUUUGGUUUGGGAGCUUAAUUUGUAACAUGUAAUAUGUACUCCCUUUGUAAAGAAAUAUAAGAGCCUUUAGAUCGCUAUAUGUUCUAAAAGGUCUUAUAUUUGUUUACAUAGGGAGUAACAAUUAGCAUUUUGUUAAGUUCUGUUGCAAGAUAUCUAUCCAAGUGGAUCUACUGAUAA